rnacentral:snoRNA from 1 species
AUUCCAUUAUGUUGGCAAUUUCUGACUAUCUCCUUGAACCUCUCCCAUGCCUCAAAAACUGUUUCUGUGUCUUAUUGGCAGAAGUUAUGGAUUUCUCUUCUAAAUUU